rnacentral:rRNA from 1 species
AACGAACGCUGGCGGCAGGCUUAACACAUGCAAGUCGAACGCUCCGCAAGGAGAGUGGCAGACGGGUGAGUAACGCGUGGGAAUCUACCCAGAUCUACGGAACAACAGUUGGAAACGACUGCUAAUACCGUAUACGCCCCAAGGGGGAAAGAUUUAUCGGAAUUGGAUGAGCCCGCGUUGGAUUAGCUAGUUGGUGGGGU